GUGUGGAGCGGGGGCGCAAACAAGAUGGCGGCCGCGCCGUUUGUACCGUCUCCCCUGCCCCUCCCCCCACUCCGCCCCUGAUGGUUUUUCUUGAGACAAGGUUUCAUUUUGUGGUGCAGUUGGCCUCAGGGUUGCUAUGUAGCCGAGGCUGGCCAUGAGCUGUUGAUCCUCCUGCCUGCACCUACAAGUUCUGGAACUGUAGAUCCUGAAGGGACCACGAUCAGAGAGCCCAGACCCCACGACAUCAGCUGUGUCACUGAGCAGCUCUGAACAGCAUGGACAGAUGCUGCGCUUGCAGAGAGACCCCUUGCUCAGACAAUUUGAUAGAUAAAGGAAUCUACCAGCUGUAACUCUUCCAUUCUGCUUUACAAGCUGACAAGAUUUCAAGUCAAGGCAGGAGGCUCACGAUGCUGUCAUGAAGUACACGUGGAGAAGAACUGCAGAUAAAUGCUUUCCACUAUUCCUGACAGGUAUGUAUGGCUCAAGCCGUUCCACAGCUCCUGGGUGGAUGUCUGUAGAGCUUUGAAGAAGAAUUAGUGAGCAUUUGGAUGAUGCAAAAGCAAGAGGGAGGAAGAAGAUGUGGAGGAGGAAAGACCUCAAAGCUGCCUGCAUGCAGUUUGGUAAGGAGAGUGACUUGAAAGUCAGCUGGUUUGCUUAGAUUCUAUAUAAUUGUGACAUGAGAAGCCAAGCAAAGAGAGUGAAUAGCCC
rnacentral:lncRNA from 1 species